GGUUGAUGUUGAAUUUGACGAUCUCGAUUGACCAGCGCGCGCGACGCGCGAUAUAACAUACGGGCGUUUUUUGUUUAUUUUUUUAUUGUUUAUUGACAAACUCUCCCGCCGCAUUCUGAUUAUUAAUACAUUUAUUCUGUGCAUGUCAAACAGGUUAAUUUAUAAAUAUGUAAAAGGAUGUAUAUUUAAAAAAAUGUGUAUAAAAAAUUGGUAUGAAAAUUGGUAUAAAAAAUGGAUAUAAAAAUGUUUCUGGUCGGCUCGUGAUAUCUAUGUUGCACUAUGGGUAUUAAAUGCAUAAUGGGUAUUAAAUGCAAAAAAAGGAGUGGAAAAAAUCGCAAACAAUAUAUAGUUUAACUGUAAACAUGUCAAAGAUGUAAAACAAUGAGUUUUAAAAAAUGUGUAUAAGACUGUGUAUGAAAAUGUGUUUUAAAAAUGGUAUAAAGAUUAGUUUAAAAAUUGGUAUAAAAAUUGUAUAUAAAAAUUGGUAUAAAAAUUGUUUCUAGUCGACGGUUUCUAGUACGAGUGGAAAAAAGUGGUAAUUCUAUAGAAGAAAUUCUAUUAAACAUAAUUGUCAAAGGUUUUUUAUAGAUAUGCAAAAAAAUGUGUAUGAAUAAUUUGUAUGAAAUGGGUAUCAUAAAAGGGUAUUAAAAUGUUUCUGGUCUCCCAGCCUCAGGAAAAACAGGAGAAAUCCUGUUUAACAUGUCAAAGAAUGUUUUUUUAAUAUGUAAAAUAAAGAGUUUCAAAAAAUAUGUGUGUAAAAAUGUGUAUAGAAAUGGGUAUCAUAAAAAGGUAUAAAAAUCUGGUCUCUCUGCCACAGGUUGGCCGGGGGUCUGUACUCUCAACGUAAAAACGUGUAAAAAAAUGGGUAUCAUAAAAAUGUAUAAAAAAAUCUGGUCUCUCAGCCAUAGUAUAAUUGGCUGCGGGUCCGUACUCUCAACUUUAAAACAUUUAUAAAAAGGUAAAAAAAAAAAUCGUGUCUCUCAGCCACAGUAUAAUUGGCUGGGGGUUCACUACUCUCAACGUAAAAAAUGUAUAAAAAAUGGAUAUCAUAAAAAGGUAUAAGAAAAUCUGGUCUCUCAGCCACAGUAUAAUUGGCUGCGGGUCCGUACUCUCAACUUUAAAACAUGUAUAAAAAAUGGAUAUCAUAAAAAGGUAUAAGAAAAUCUGGUCUCUCAGCCACAGUAUAAUUGGCUGCGGGUCCGUACUCUCAACUUUAAAACAUGUAUAAAAAAUGGAUAUCAUAAAAAGGUAUAAAAAAAAUCUGGUCUCUCAGCCACAGUAUAAUUGGCUGCGGGUCCGUACUCUCAACUUUAAAACAUGUAUAAAAAAUGGAUAUCAUAAAAAGGUAUAAAAAAAUCUGGUCUCUCAGCCACAGUAUAAUUGGCUGCGAGUCCGUACUCUCAACUUUAAAACAUGUAUAAAAAAUGUAUAGCAUAAAAAAGGUAUAAAAAAAUCUGGUCUCUCAGCCACAGUAUAAUUGGCUGCGGGUCCAUACUCUCAACUUUAAAACAUGUAUAAAAAAUGGAUAUCAUAAAAAGGUAUAAGAAAAUCUGGUCUCUCAGCCACAGUAUAAUUGGCUGCGGGUCCGUAUUCUCAACUUUAAAACAUGUAUAAAAAAUGGAUAUCAUAAAAAGGGGUUAAAAAAAUCUGGUCUCUCAGCCACAGCAUAAUUGGCUGCGGGUCCGUACUCUCAACUUUAAAACAUGUAUUAAAAAUGGAUAUCAUAAAAAGGUAUAAAAAAAUCUGGUCUCUCAGCCACAGCAUAAUUGGCUGCGGGUCCGUACUCUCAACUUUAAAACAUGUAUAAAAAAUGGAUAUCAUAAAAAGGUAUAAGAAAAUCUGGUCUCUCAGCCACAGUAUAAUUGGCUGCGGGUCCGUACUCUCAACUUUAAAACAUGUAUAAAAAAUGGAUAUCAUAAAAAG